ACCUUAGAGCAUCUCCAAUGGCUUGAUAUUAGAGUUCUCUCAGUGGGUUCUCAGAAUAAAAUUGUGAAAAAUUAAAUCAGAAAUCGUUUUUACAGAGAGAGCUGUCUCUCUUGAGAGAAACUUUGAAAGAGAAGAGAGACGUGUACGUGUCACGUUUUGGAUGUUUUGUUUGACAAAACUGAAAAAAAAAAAACGCCUGAAGGAAAAUACUUUGUCAAUUUCUAUUUUUCGCGAAACUCUCUCGAAACCAAACGACAAUGAAAACGCUGGUGAUGGCGACGGAGCCGGUCGUUUGCUCCGACGAUUGCGGGUUGAAUUUAAGCAGUCGAUAUGUUGUAUGAGCAGUGGUUGCGCAAGAGCAAUGGUUGGGCCGGAUUCAUCCUUCUCGAAGGCGGUGGUCACGUCGAUUUGAGAUUACGGCAGAAGGAAGACGGGUUACACUUUAUAAUGGUUACCUGAUUAUAGUGGCUUUAAAAUUUUUCCACUUUCCAGUGAUUUGAGCUUCAACAAGCUACAUGGACCAAGGUUUGACAGAUGGCAAUUAGCCAUGACAAUCGUGUAAGGACUACCUCUGUGGAUUGCAAGCUAGGAUCCGCAAACUUGAAGAGAGGGCUCAAGGGAGAACUAAAGAAGCAGCAAAAUGUUGUUGGAAACGUGUGAACUAAUAAUUUAUUUUUUUCAUGAAAACCCAAUAAAGAGAGACUACUAUUGGACACUGCAAAAUAAAAAAAAUUUAACAGAAUCUCUCAUCUCAUCAAUUUGAAAAAUUUAUUCUUAAAAAAAUGGUGAGAGCCCAUGAGUGGCUAUCACAUUGGGCGACGCUUCAUGGAGAACCGCCUCCGAGCCUAAACGCCUUGACCACGAUGGAGGAUGAAGAUUUGGGAGUGUGUGAUUUUUUUUCCUCUGGGGAAAUAAAGCUGGUCCGCAAACUCCCUGAAUAUGCCAAGCUUUUGGCCCUGGCGUCCCUGGAGUACUGAUAGGGGAUACCACCUGAGAACAGAGGCCAAACGUGGGACAAUAGUCAAGCUGAGGCCUGAGGUGCAAGUAAGAAGGUCAACUUGUCCAAGGUAUCAAAACAAGAAGUUUUGGAUUAGUGCAGUCAACACUUUGUAAAUUCAUCUUUGGUUUCCUAACAUCAUCAGUGUUUUGAGUU